rnacentral:rRNA from 1 species
GACGAACGCUGGCGGCGUGGAUUAGGCAUGCAAGUCGAACGGUAUCAUCCUUUCGGGGGUGAGAGAGUGGCGAACUGGUGAGUAACACGUAGGUUAUCUACCCUCAAGACGGGGACAACCCAGGGAAACUUGGGCUAAUACCGGAUGUGAGCAACUUUUAGUUGUUUGAAAGGUGGCGUAAGCUGUCGCUUGGGGAUGAGCCUGCGUCCUAUUAGUUAGUUGGUGAGGUAACGGCUCACCUAGGCAAUGAUAGGUAGGCGGCCUUAACGGGUGGUCGCCCACACUGGGAUUGAGAUACGGCCCAGACUCCUACGGGAGGCAGCAGUCGAGAAUAGUCUACAAUGGUCGGAAGACUGAUAGUGCGACGCCGCGUGAACGAUGAAUCCCUUCGGGGUGUAAAGUUCUUUUAUAUGUGAGCAGUGGGUUCUACGUUAAUAGCGUGGGAUCAGGGAUAUUAGCAUAUGAAUAAGCAACGGCUAACUCCGUGCCAGCAGCCGCGGUAAUAGUCACG